GCGCAGCAGGCGAGAAUUUUUCUCAAUGGGGGCAACCCUGAAGGAGCGACGCCGCGUGGAGGAUGAAGGCUUUCGGGUUGUAAACUCCUGUCAUUUGAGAACAAGUGCCAACAAGUAACUACUGUUGGCUUGAUAGUAUCAGAAGAGGAAGGGACGGCUAACUCUGUGCAGCAGCCGCGGUAAUACAGAGGUCCCAAGCGUUGUUCGGAUUCAUUGGGCGUAAAGGGUGCGUAGGUGGCGUGGUAAGUCGGGUGUGAAAUUUCGGAGCUUAACUCCGAAACUGCAUUCGAUACUGCCGUGCUUGAGGACUGGAGAGGAGACUGGAAUUUACGGUGUAGCAGUGAAAUGCGUAGAGAUCGUAAGGAAGACCAGUGGCGAAGGCGGGUCUCUGGACAGUUCCUGACACUGAGGCACGAAGGCUAGGGGAGCAAACGGGAUUAGAUACCCGUGUAGU
rnacentral:rRNA from 1 species